UACGUAGGGUGCGAGCGUUAAUCGGAAUUACUGGGCGUAAAGCGUGCGCAGGCGGUUCGUUAAGUCAGAUGUGGAAGCCCCGGGCUCAACCUGGGAACUGCAUUUGAAACUGGCGGGCUUGAGUGUGGCAGAGGGGGGUGGAAUUCCGCGUGUAGCAGUGAAAUGCGUAGAGAUGCGGAGGAACACCGAUGGCGAAGGCAGCCCCCUGGGCCAACACUGACGCUCAGGCACGAAAGCGUGGGGAGCAAACAGG
rnacentral:rRNA from 1 species